rnacentral:rRNA from 1 species
GACGAACGCUGGCGGCGUGCUUAACACAUGCAAGUCGAGCGGUAAGGCCCUUUCGGGGGUACACGAGCGGCGAACGGGUGAGUAACACGUGGGUGACCUGCCCUCAGCUUCUGGGAUAAGCCUGGGAAACUGGGUCUAAUACUGGAUAUGACUCCACGGUGCAUGUCGUGGGGUGGAAAGCCUUGUGCGGCUGAGGAUGGGCCCGCGGCCUAUCAGCUUGUUGGUGGGGUGANGGCCUACCAAGGCGACGACGGGUAGCCGGCCUGAGAGGGCGACCGGCCACACUGGGACUGAGACACGGCCCAGACUCCUACGGGAGGCAGCAGUGGGGAAUCUUGCGCAAUGGGCGAAAGCCUGACGCAGCGACGCCGCGUGAGGGAUGACGGCCUGGUU